GAAAGAAUCUGGCAGUGGAGAUACCAUGAUCACAAAGGUGACUUUCCCAGGGCGAGGCUUAUCGUUGCACUCCGGAUGUGCUGACCCCUGUGAUUUCCCCAAAUGUGGGAAACUCAACUGCAUGAUUUGUGGUAGUGGGAGACUGCAUUGGCGCUUUCCCUUG
ensembl:snRNA U1 U1 spliceosomal RNA